rnacentral:rRNA from 1 species
UACGUAGGGUGCGAGCGUUGUCCGGAAUUAUUGGGCGUAAAGAGCUCGUAGGCGGUUCGUCGCGUCGAAUGUGAAAACCCGGGGCUCAACUCCGGGCCUGCAUUUGAUACGGGCGGACUAGAGUUCGGUAGGGGAGACUGGAAUUCCUGGUGUAGCGGUGAAAUGCGCAGAUAUCAGGAGGAACACCGGUGGCGAAGGCGGGUCUCUGGGCCGAUACUGACGCUGAGGAGCGAAAGCGUGGGGAGCGAACAGG